rnacentral:rRNA from 1 species
GAUCUCGAAAACCUGUCCCAGUUCGGACUGGAGUCUGCAACCCGACUCCACGAAGUUGGAUUCGCUAGUAAUCGCGCAUCGGCCAUGGCGCGGUGAAUACGUUCCCGGGCCUUGUACACACCGCCCGUCAAGCCAUGGGAGCCGGGGGCGCCUGAAGUCCGGGACCGCGAGGACCGGCCUAAGGCGAAACUGGUGACUGGGCUAAGUCGUAACAAGGUAGC